UUUAACGGCCGCGGUACCCUAACCGUGCGAAGGUAGCAUAAUCACUUGUUCUUUAAAUAGGGACUAGUAUCAACGGCAUCACGAGGGUUACACUGUCUCCUUUCUCCAAUCAGUGAAACUGAUCUCCCCGUGAAGAAGCGGGGAUAAGACUAUUAGACGAGAAGACCCCAUGGAGCUUUAAGCUUAACAACACCUCCAAUUAUGAAUAAUUCUAUAUAACCUACGAGUCCUGUUUGUUAGCUUUAGGUUGGGGUGACCGCGGAGUAUAAUAAAACCUCCACGACAAACGGGUUUUAACCCUAAUCCAAGAGCCACAGCUCUAAGAAUCAUUAAUUUGAUGUUUAAUGAUCCGAUCUUCGAUCAACGGACCAAGUUACCCUGGGGAUAACAGCGCAAUCCAUUUCUAGAGCUCCUAUCGACAAAUGGGUUUACGACCUCGAUGUUGGAUCAGGGU
rnacentral:rRNA from 1 species